rnacentral:rRNA from 1 species
AUGGAUUUCUCAGGCGCCGUGCAAUGGUGGGAUGAGUGGCAACUGCGUGUACUGGUGCUGGGCAGCCUCUUCGUCCAGUGCAUGCUCUUCUUCUCCUCCUAUGUGCGUAGGCGUGCCCUCUCAUCUCUGCCCAAGCUCUUCAUCUGGCUCGCCUACCUAGGCGGGGAUGCUCUGGCGAUAUACGCCCUGGCCACCCUCUUCAACCGCCACAGGCAGAAGGAGCAGCUCGCCGCCGGCCUGGAGGUGCUAUGGGCGCCUGUCCUCCUCAUCCACCUCGGAGGCCAUCACAUGAUGACCGCCUAUAGCAUCGAAGACAACGAGCUGUGGACGCGGCACGGCAUCACCGCGGUGUCCCAGGUCGUGGUCGCCAUCUACGUCUUCUGCAAGUCCUGGUCUGGCUCUGGCGGCGAAAAGAGGUUACUGCAGUCCGGGAUCUUACUGUUCGUCGUCGGGAUAAUCAGAUCCAUCCAGAAGCCAUUAGCUCUGAAGACUGCCAGUAUCAAUACCAUGAUCGCCACUUACUCUACGUCCACGAGAAAGAAACAGAGCAUCUCAUUGUGUUGGAAAGCAAUGUGCGGUUGCUCAUGGGAUUGGUACUUUACUAGAAGCAAAACUAGAGAAGAAACCCAAGAGAAGGACAUCCCGCUUGAAGAAUUCGUGCAAGAAGCAAUCAAGAAUCUGCCAGAGCUGGCCACUGAUCAAAAGCAAGCUGAAAACCUCGCAUGGGAUCAGUCAUUGAAGGUAAAUGCCUACAGGUCACUAGUAGACAUAUCAGCUCCAUACUCUAGUCGGAUCAAAAGCCUAAAACUUUCAAUGGCCCUUGAUUACCAACAUGCAAAUAGUUUGUCGGCAGCCAUGCUUAAUGAGAUGUUUUUCCUCCUCUACACAAAACUACCUACCAUAUUCAGUAGCUAUAUCUGCUUUUCGCUUGUUUGCCUUCCGUUCCUAACCUUAGCUUCUGUUAUCCUCUUCUCCACAAACCACAUAUAUCAUGACUACAACACAACAGAUGUCAAGGUAACCUACAUCUUGUUUUGGUGUACUGCACUGUUGGAUUUCAUAUCGGUCUUCCUCGGUCCUUCCAUCGUGCUCAUAGGAUCAACAAAAAAGGUUCCCCAAUAUAACCUCUUGUCGUUCUGUGCUCGUAAGAAGCGGCCCACUGUUUUGAUGAAGCUUGCCACACUUGUCUUCUGCAAAGACUAUGUCAAUGUGCAUUGCUAUAUAGAGCACGCAGCAAAACCAUCCUUACUCCAAGUUACAGAGUUGGUUCAUGGAUAUGUCAGGGAUGGUUGGAAAGGAUAUAUCCAUGACGAUGCCAGCUAUAGGAGAUUCAAUAGCCGGAGAGGCCAGUGGGCUCUAAGGCAUCAGCAUCAUCUCGGGUGGAGCUUGAAGAUGCCGUUUGAUAGAAGCAUCCUUCUCUGGCACAUCGCCACAGACCUCUGCUUUCACCACCAAGGCACAACCGCUCACGGCCAAGAGUGCGCCACUAGAAGCAGAGUGAUAUCCAACUACAUGGCUUACCUGCUCUCCCUCCAUCCAGAGAUGCUUAUGCCCGGGUCGAGGAUCGGUACCUUCACCGUCGCCUGUGAAGAUGUCCUGUUAGUGCUAGGCGGCAAGUAUGCGCUGGACACUGAAAGAGGACUUGCGCAUGGUAUUCUUUUCUGGGUGCAACAAUUUUCCUUGUUAGACGACGCCAGGGCAAUGGCAUCUCUGGUUCCCAAGGCAUGCAAGCUUGCUAAAGGGUUGAUGGAUCUGCGGGAAGUGGAGAGGUGGGAGGUGGUCCAGGCGGUAUGGGUGGAGAUGCUAUGCUACUCUGCUGGUAGGUGCAGGGGGUACUUGCACGCCAAGAACAUGAGUGAAGUUAUGGAACUACUCACUCAUGUUUGGUUCCUCUUGUCAUUCAUGGGGAUGGAGACGUUCGCUGAUAGGUUUCAGAAACCGGAACCUUCCGAAAACAUGGAAGAAGAAGAAGAAGAAGAAGAAGAAGAAGAUGGUGAAAGUAGAGUCCCGGAGAACAAGAUUAAUAUCUUUGUCUAA